rnacentral:rRNA from 1 species
GUGGGGAAUCUUGCGCAAUGGGCGAAAGCCUGACGCAGCCAUGCCGCGUGAAUGAUGAAGGUCUUAGGAUUGUAAAAUUCUUUCACCGGGGACGAUAAUGACGGUACCCGGAGAAGAAGCCCCGGCUAACUUCGUGCCAGCAGCCGCGGUAAUACGAAGGGGGCUAGCGUUGCUCGGAAUUACUGGGCGUAAAGGGCGCGUAGGCGGAUCGUUAAGUCAGGGGUGAAAUCCCAGAGCUCAACUCUGGAACUGCCCUUGAUACUGGCGAUCUUGAGUGUGAGAGAGGUAUGUGGAACUCCGAGUGUAGAGGUGAAAUUCGUAGAUAUUCGGAAGAACACCAGUGGCGAAGGCGACAUACUGGCUCAUUACUGACGCUGAGGCGCGAAAGCGUGGGGAGCAAACAGGAUUAGAAACCCCGGUAGUCC